AGAGUUUGAUCAUGGCUCAGAACGAACGCUGGCGGCGUGCUUAACACAUGCAAGUCGAGUGCGCGCCUGUAGCAAUACAGGUGGCGCACGGCGCACGGGUGCGUAACACGUGGGUAACCUGCCCUUUGGUGGGGAAUAACUCCGCGAAAGCGAAGCUAAUUCCGCAUAAGAUCCGCAAGGAUGAAAGCCGAAAGGCGCCGAUGGAGGGGCCCGCGCACGAUUAGCUAGUUGGUAGGGUAAUGGCCUACCAAGGCUUUGAUCGUUAGCUGGUCUGAGAGGAUGGCCAGCCACACUGGAACUGAGACACGGUCCAGACUCCUACGGGAGGCAGCAGUGGGGAAUCUUGCACAAUGGGCGAAAGCCUGAUGCAGCGACGCCGCGUGGGGGAUGAAGCUUCUCGGAGUGUAAACCCCUUUCGAUCCGGACGAAUGCCCGCAAGGGAUUGACGGUACGGAUAUAAGAAGCCCCGGCUAACUACGUGCCAGCAGCCGCGGUAAUACGUAGGGGGCCAGCGUUGUUCGGAAUUACUGGGUGUAAAGGGUUCGUAGGCGGUGCGGCAAGUUGGGAGUGAAAUCUCUGGGCUCAACCCAGAGGCUGCUUCCAAAACUGCCGUGCUUGAGUGUGGGAGAGGCUCGUGGAAUUGCAGGUGUAGCGGUGAAAUGCGUAGAUAUCUGCAGGAACACCCGUGGCGAAAGCGGCGAGCUGGACCACUACUGACGCUGAAGAACGAAAGCUAGGGGAGCAAACAGGAUUAGAUACCCUAGUAGUCC
rnacentral:rRNA from 1 species